AUUGAACGCUGGCGGCAGGCCUAACACAUGCAAGUCGAGCGAGCGGCGGACGGGUGCGUAAUGUAGGGGGAUCUGCCCGAUGGAGGGGGAUAACGACUGGAAAGGGUGGCUAAUACCGCAUACUGUCGGAUGUACCCAGAUGGGAUUAACUAGUAGGUGGGGUAAAGGCUCACCUGGGCGACGAUCGCUAGCUGGUCUGAGAGGAUGAUCAGCCACACUGGAACGGGGACACGGCCCAGACUCCUACGGGAGGCAGCAGUGGGGAAUAUUGCACAAUGGGCGCAAGCCUGAUGCAGCCAUGCCGCGUGUGUGAAGAAGGCCUUCGGGUUGUAAAGCACUUUCAGCGGGGAGGCGUUACCCGCAGAAGAAGCACCGGCUAACUCCGUGCCAGCAGCCGCGGUAAUUC
rnacentral:rRNA from 1 species